rnacentral:rRNA from 1 species
UACGUAGGGUGCGAGCGUUGUCCGGAAUUAUUGGGCGUAAAGAGCUCGUAGGCGGUGUGUCACGUCGGCCGUGAAACCUGCAGCUUAACUGUGGGCGUGCGGUCGAUACGGGGCAUCACUGGAGUUCGGCAGGGGAGACUGGAAUUCCUGGUGUAGCGGUGAAAUGCGUAGAGAUCGGGCGGAACACCAGCGGCGAAGGCGGCAUCCUGGUCCUGUUCUGACGCUGAGGCGCGAGAGCGUGGGGAGCAAACGUGG